AAGGGGCAGUAAUGUGUGGAUAACCUACCCUGGGGUUGGGCAUAGCCUCUCUAACGAGAGGGUAAUUCCCAGCGAUUCGACGCGGUGGCAUCAUCGUGUCGGGAAAGAUUUAUCGCCUCGGGAGGGGUCCAUAUCGUAUUACCUAGUUGGUGAGGUAACGGCUCACCAAGGGGAAGAUGCGUAGCGGGUGUGAGAGCACGACCCGCGCCACUGGCACUGUGACACUGGCCAGACACCUACGGGUGGCUGCAGUCGAGGAUCUUCGUCAAUGGACGCAAGUCUGAACGAGCGACGCCGCGUGUGCGAUGAAGGCCUUCGGGUUGUAAAGCACAAAAGUGGGGAUAAAGCCGCAAGGUUGAUUGAUCCACAGUAAGCUCGGGCUAAGUUCGUGCCAGCAGCCGCGGUAAGACGAACCGAGCGAACGUUGUUCGGAAUCACUGGGCUUAAAGGGCGCGUAGGCGGGUGAUCAAGUCGGUGGUGAAAUCCUACAGCUUAACUGUAGAACUGCCUCCGAUACUGGUUAUCUCGAGGAAGGUAGGGGCGUACGGAACAGUUGGUGGAGCGGUGAAAUGCGUUGA
rnacentral:rRNA from 1 species